rnacentral:rRNA from 1 species
UAGGGAAUCUUCCGCAAUGGACGAAAGUCUGACGGAGCAACGCCGCGUGAACGAGGAAGGUUUUCGGAUCGUAAAGUUCUGUUGUUAGGGAAGAACAAGUACCGUUUGAAUAAGGCGGUACCUUGACGGUACCUAACGAGAAAGCCACGGCUAACUACGUGCCAGCAGCCGCGGUAAUACGUAGGUGGCAAGCGUUAUCCGGAAUUAUUGGGCGUAAAGCGCGCGCAGGUGGUUUCUUAAGUCUGAUGUGAAAGCCCACGGCUCAACCGUGGAGGGUCAUUGGAAACUGGGAGACUUGAGUGCAGGAGAGGAAAGUGGAAUUCCACGUGUAGCGGUGAAAUGCGUAGAGAUGUGGAGGAACACCAGUGGCGAAGGCGACUUUCUGGCCUGCAACUGACACUGAGGCGCGAAAGCGUGGGGAGCAAACA